AAGAUACUAGUCAAAAGCGCGAUGACACUGCUUUGUCAAAGCAAAAGUGUAGGUUGAAAUCCUGCGUAUCUUA
rnacentral:tRNA from 1 species